UCUCCUUUUGCGCCGCGUCUGACCGCCGGACGCGGUGGCGCGCGCCUGUAGUCCCAGCUACUCGGGAGGCUGAGGCAGGAGGAUCGCUUGAGCCCAGGAGUUCUGGGCUGUAGUGUGCUAUGCCGAUCGGGUGUCCGCACUAAGUUCGGCAUCAAUAUGGUGACCUCCCGGGAGCGGGGGGCCACCAGGUUGCCUAAGGAGGGGUGAACCGGCCCAGGUCGGAAACGGAGCAGGUCAAAACUCCCGUGCUGAUCAGUAGUGGGAUCGCGCCUGUGAAUAGCUACUGCGCUCCAGCCUGGGCAACAUAGCGAGACCCCGUCUCUUUUAAAUUUUCAUGAAGUAGAAUUUUCAGUCCU
rnacentral:SRP_RNA from 1 species